UACGGAGGGAGCUAGCGUUGUUCGGAAUUACUGGGCGUAAAGCGCACGUAGGCGGCGAUUCAAGUCAGAGGUGAAAGCCCGGGGCUCAACCCCGGAACUGCCUUUGAAACUAGAUUGCUAGAAUCCUGGAGAGGUGAGUGGAAUUCCGAGUGUAGAGGUGAAAUUCGUAGAUAUUCGGAAGAACACCAGUGGCGAAGGCGACUCACUGGACAGGUAUUGACGACUGAGGUGCGAA
rnacentral:rRNA from 1 species